rnacentral:lncRNA from 1 species
AUGUCCCAUCCGACCAAUGAGACUAUUUCAUCUGCGGUGGGGAGCGAUGAGGAGGUCCCACUUCAGAACCCUGGGGGGACACGGGACAAUGGGGAUGGGGAUGACAAUGGGAAUGACUCCAGCGGUCACGGGUGCCAGCUCUCCAUCAACCAGUGUCUCGAUUCCUGUAGCCAGCGCAUCACUUCCCUCUGGCCCUGCUGCCAUGACAGAGAGCACAGGAGAUUGGCCAUCUGGAGCACUAUCUGUGGACUGUCCUGUGUUGGAUGCACAGCUUUGAUUUAUUCUGUCAAGGCGCAGGAAAGAAGAGAGACUGACCCAGAGAAGGCACAGCUCUUUUCCGACAAGGCCAGGUGUCAUGCUAUAGUGUCCAUCAUGCUUUGUCUGGCUAUUCCUGUCCUCGUCGUGGUUCUGGUGUUCGGGGCAUCUUAUGUUCUCACUUUAAUAGACUAAGACAAAGUUUGGCCUUCUGUUUCUGGUUGAAGACACAAGACGCAGGAGAAAACUUUGCUGAAAUGCAUUAAAGUUACUCAAGGAAGCCCAACCGCCAACAUUCAAGGAUAUGACUGAAAUGAGCACUAAUGUCAGUUACAUUACAAUAACAAUCUGGCCAUGCACUUGAACCCACCUGAGCAUGUGACUGAAUGGCAAUUCUUUGAAGAGUGUUGCCUUUUACAGAAGAACAAACAGCUAUGCUGAGAAGUGAACCAAAGUUUAUCUCACAUUGCUGCAGGAGCAUUUCCACGAAAUUAUGUCUUGAGUGGUUCACCAGUACUUCUUCUGCAAGAGAAAUGAAAGCGGUCCAGUUCAGUGUUGCCUCUGUCCGCUCGUGUAAGCCUGAGGCUUGCUAUCUGGUUCAUAUCUGGGUGGUGCUCUAAAAUCAAGCUAAAGGAAGGUUGAUGAGCCCCGGACAAAAGAAACUGGUUUGCGUUUCAGACAAAUAUUUUUAUUGGACCUUAAUUGCACAUUAAGGUACACAUGACCUGCUGGACGGACUGAGCUUAAGAGUGGUACUCUCUGUAAUCACUUGACUGGGACUUGAUUCUUCUUCUAAUUUUGGCAUCAUGAGAAACAUUCUUAAGAACUCUGGCUGCACUGUUAGAACGAAGUGUGUCCUCUUACUGUUACAAACAAGGGAAUGCUCUUCACUUCAGAGAGAAGACCAGCCACAUCAUCCUAUUGUUCUUAAGAGUUCAGUUGAAUUUAGCAUGGUUACAAAGAUUGUUAGUUCUCAUGAGACAAGGAACAUUAUAGUCAGUCCAUAUACUAGCCCAGACUGCUUUUAGAAUAUAUUCACACUGUAUAACAAUUGUAUGUGUUUCAUUCUUUUACAUAUGUUUUUUGUACAUUGCAUGUUUUCAGUACUUCUCAAUAAAGGAAAAACAGCACUUUACUCA